ACAAUUUAAGUUCAUAAUGCUUAUCUAUAGUAUAACUCUCGUUAAGCUAAAAUUACGAAUUAUUUUAAAAAACAUAGAAAUAUAAAUAGGCUUAGUAUUUUAUUUUUUAUAUACUAUGUGAUAAUGAUUUGUUGUAUAUAUAUAUAUACAUAUUUCUUUAAAGUAUUUUACCAUAUUUAACUGUUUAAAUGUGUUGUAUAUUAUAAUUUGUGAAAACAUUUUGUAAUAAUGUAGCAUAUAUAUACAUAAUAAAUAGUAGUUAUUUUUCACAUCAUAUGUAUUUUUAUUUUGUCUAUAUAUUCGAUGACAUAGUUUUGCAGCAUGGCGGAAGGCGAUCCAUUUGAUAAUUCGACUUGGAGGCAAAGAGUAAAUACUUUAUCUACAGAUUUAAAUAAUACGGAAGAUGAAAAUGAUACAAUUGGGGCACUUAACAGACAUGCGCGAAAUGUUACUUGGGAAUAUAUUGGUCAUCCGGGAAUAUCGCCAUUUUUGUUUUUUGGAGGAAGAUGAUGAAAACCUACGUGAACAAGUGCGUCAAGCGUUGCAUGCUAAUCCUCCCAACGAUAAUGAUGAGUCACUUGAACCAUUGCUUCAAGAGGGGGAGGAUGAUGAUCCAGGCAAUGAAGUUGAAGAAAGCACGGUAUAAUAAGCUCAGUAGCAAUAACCAUGUAUUAAAGCCAUUCAUUUAAUAAAUACAAAUAUUGAAUGUAAAACGGUAUAAUG
rnacentral:lncRNA from 1 species